AUUCCUAUUUCAUCCAUUGACACAUUUCUUUUCUCUGUGUUUAUGAUUGACAGGGUCCAGGGUGACCAGUUCUCCUGAGUAAUGUGAGAAGCAAUUCCAGUCAACGUUAUAUCUGAGGUCAAAUUUGUAUUGCGUUCACGUGGAACUCAUUGCUCUUCAUGGCAACUGCCUUACCAUCUAUUUGACUUCUGGACCUGAGGAAAACCCAAGACUGGAGAGAAUUGCUGGAAGUAUUUCAUCAUGCUACCUAACCAUCUGCCCUCUUGUGCUAAUGGAAAGUAAUAAAAUUAUUUCCAAAUUUAUUUCUGCCCUUUCAAAGGUGAGAAUUACCUCUUCUCAAAGAGCAUUCAGUGACUCACCUGAUACCCCACCACUUCUUUCCAAUGCAGAGGAAUCUACAUUAUCAUUUAUCUGAGGAAACAAAUGCCAUGACA
rnacentral:lncRNA from 12 species